AGAGUUUGAUCAUGGCUCAGAACGAACGCUGGCGGCAUGCCUAACACAUGCAAGUCGAACGAGACCUUCGGGUCUAGUGGCGCACGGGUGCGUAACGCGUGGGAAUCUGCCCUUGGGUUCGGAAUAACUCGCCGAAAGGCGUGCUAAUACCGGAUGAUGUCGUAAGACCAAAGAUUUAUCGCCCAGGGAUGAGCCCGCGUAAGAUUAGGUAGUUGGUGAGGUAAAGGCUCACCAAGCCGACGAUCUUUAGCUGGUCUGAGAGGAUGAUCAGCCACACUGGGACUGAGACACGGCCCAGACUCCUACGGGAGGCAGCAGUGGGGAAUAUUGCACAAUGGGCGGAAGCCUGAUGCAGCAACGCCGCGUGCGGGAUGACGGCCUUCGGGUCGUAAACCGCUUUCGCCUGUGACGAAGCGUGAGUGACGGUAAUGGGUAAAGAAGCACCGGCUAACUACGUGCCAGCAGCCGCGGUAAUA
rnacentral:rRNA from 1 species